AGUUUGAUUAUGGCUCAGAUUGAACGCUGGCGGGAUGCUACAUGCAAGUCGAACGGCAGCACGGACUUCGGUCUGGUGGCGAGUGGCGAGCAGGUGAGUAAUGUAUCGGAACGUGCCUAGUAGCGGGGGAUAACUACGCGAAAGCGUAGCUAAUACCGCAUGCGCCCUUCAGGGGGAAAGCGGGGACGCUGGGCCUCGCACUAUUAAACGGCGAUAUCGGAUUAGCUAGUUGGUGGGGUAACGGCUCACCAAGGCGACGAUCCGUAGCUGGUUUGAAGGAGAGGACGACCAGCCACACUGGGACGGAGACACGGCCAGACUCUACAGGGAGGCAGCAGUGGGAGAUUUUGGACAAUGGGGAAACCUGAUCCAGCCAUCCCGCGUGCGAUGAAGGCCUUCGGGUUGUAAAGCACUUUUUGGCAGAAAGAAACGGCACAGGAUAAUACCCCGUGCAACUGACGGUACCUGCAGAAUAAGCACCGGCUAACUACGUGCCAGCAGCCGCGGUAAUACAGCAGGGUGCAAGCGUUAAUCGAGAUUACUGGGCGUAAAGCGUGCGCAGGCGGUUCGGAAAGAAAGAUGUGAAAUCCCAGAGCUUAACUUUGGAACUGCAUUUUUAACUACCGAGCUAGAGUGUCAGAGGGAGGUGGAACUCCACGUGUAGCAGUGAAAUGCGUAGAUAUGCGGAGGAACACCGUGGCGAAGGCGCAGCCUCCUGGGAUAACACUGACGCUCAUGCACAGCAUUGAGGCAAACAGGAUUAGAUACCCUGGUAGUCCACGCCCUAAACGAUGUCAACUAGCUGUUGGGGCCUUCGGGCCUUGGUAGCGCAGCUAACGCGUGAAGUUGACCGCCUGGGAAGCCACGGUCGCAAGAUUAAAACUCAAAGGAAUUGACGGGGACCCGCACAAGCGGUGGAUGAUGUGGAUAAUUCGAUGCAACGCGAAAGAGCCUUUACCUACCCUUGACAUGUCUGGAAUCCCGAAGAGAUUUGGGAGUGCUCGCAAGAGAACCGGAACACAGGUGCUGCAUGGCUGUCGUCAGCUCGUGUCGUGAGAUGUUGGGUUAGAAUCCGCAACGAGCGCAACCCUUGUCAUUAGUUGCUACGAAAGGGCACUCUAAUGAGACUGCCGGUGACAAACCGGAGGAAGGUGGGGAUGACGUCAAGUCCUCAUGGCCCUUAUGGGUAGGGCUUCACCGAUAUCGCGCAAUGGUCGGGACAGGGUCGCCAACCCGCGAGGGGAGCCAAUCCCAGAAACCCGAUCGUAGUGGGAUCGCAGUCUGCAACUAAAUCAACUGCGUGAAGUCGGAAUCGCUAGUAAUCGCGGAUCGGCAUGUCGCGGUGAAUACGUUCCCGGGUCUUGUACACGCACUUGUCACACCAUGGGAGUGGGUUUUGCAGAAGUAGUUAGCCUAACCGUAAGGAGGCGAUUACCACAUUAGGAUUCAUGACU
rnacentral:rRNA from 1 species